AUGGACCAUUCCAUCCCUUUUUCCCGUGCAUAUGCAUCGGAUUCGGAUGACGAAGGUCCCGAUGAACAAGUUGAUGAGGAGGGGUUCACGGUGAAGGAGGCCGAAGCUUUCGAGAAGGUAUUCGGUCGGGAUCACAAGACACCAUUGUUCAAGAAUGUUAGUCUCGCGGAUGAAGCCAUUGUGGAUGGUGGCAAAUCUAUAUCUCUUGGGGUUAGGCCAAGCUCUCACCGUGAUUUGGGAAACGACAAGAACCGGAUUGCUAAAGGGUCUAAGUUCGAAACCUUCUUGGAAUUGAAGAUGUGGCUCGACAACUACUCGGUUACGCAUUAUCGUCCACACAAGGUGGUGCACUCGGACGUCAAUGUGCGCUACACUGUUGCAUGUGCAUGUUAA
rnacentral:rRNA from 1 species